UGCUCUCACUGAAAUGAUCUACUGCUUCCUUUCUGUUUCCACCGGGCUCAGUGUGCUGCUCUCACUUCCCCUCAGUGUGGCUGCUGUUCCUCACUUCUCCCUGAGGACAGAAAGAUGAAAAUGAAAAAUAUUGAAGAGCUGCAUCGUUUCUGGGAUGCUAUAAAUUUUGAGUGCUGACUAAAGCAGCAGUACAAUAAAGACUGGACUUCAGCAAAGUGUUUGACACUGUUUCCUAAAGACUUCUCCUGGACAGACUGCCAAGAUACAAAUUGGAUGGGUGGUCUGUGAGAUGGGUAGGAAACUGGCACACAGGCUGCAUUCAUAGGUGGUGAUCGAUGGUUUUUACUCAGGCUUGCAGCUUGUCACAAGUGGGGUCCCCCAGAGAUUGAUACUGGGCCUCAUGCUGCCCAACAUCUUCAUAAAUGGUCUGGAUAAUGGGAUUGAAAGCACCCUCAUCAUGUUUGCUGAUGGUGGUAAGGUACACAUCAGAAGGGAGAGCCAUCUUACAGAGCAACCUGGACAGGCUGAAAGAGUGGGCUAGCAAGAACACAAAGACAAGUGACAAGUUCUGCAUCUGGGAUGAAAUAACCAAAACCCCCAGUGCAGGCUAGGAUCUGUGUAGUGAGAGAGCAGCAUUGCUGAAAGGGACCUUGGAGGUCCUGGUGGACAGCAAGCUGAACAGGAAUCAGCAGUGCACUGCUGUAGCAACGAAUGCAAAUCAGAUCUUGGGCUGCAUCUGCAGGGGCAGUACUACCAGGGAUAUGCAAUUAUCCCACUCUACUUAGAACUUGUCAGGCCACACCUGGAGUACUGUCCGUAACUGUGCUCCACACAAUUCAAAGACAUGGACAGACAGGAUAGGGUACAAAGGAGGGCCACUAAAUUGGUCAAAGGGCUCGAAAACCUGCCCUAUGAGGAAUGACUGGAGGAGUUAGGUCUUUUCUGCCUGGAGAAGAGAAGGCUCAGGGGGCACCUCAUCACAGUAUUCCAGUACUGAAAAGGAUGCUACAAAGAAGCACUCUCUUCAUAAGGAGCCACAUGGAGAAGACAAGGGGCAAAGGGUGUAACUUGCACAGGGACUUUCAGCAUGAUAUAAGAAAAAAAUUUUUUAGAUGAGAACAGCUGAUCACUGGAACAACCUGCCCAGGGAUGUGGCAGAGCCCUCAUUGUUGGAGGUUUUCAAGACACAGUUGGACAACGUGCUGCAUAACCUCAUAUAGGCUCUCUUUCCCAUGUAAGAUUGGACCACAUGAUCUUUUAAGAUCCCUUCCGACCUGGGCUAUUCUAUGGUUCUAUGACAGAGAAAGAGAUAACGCAUAUUUAACAUCAUCCGGAAUGCACCUGUGUAGUAAGGUAUUGCUUCAUUGGGGAGCGUGUUGUCAACAGCUUAUUUCAGCAAAGACUUGUUAGGUUUUAGCAUCUGUGCCCUGUGGCUAUUGCCUGUAUUGACUCUUCUCCACCAGCUCCCAAACUCACUGAACAGCUCUCACACAGCAACAAGCACACACUCUUCCUCGAAACAGCUUACCCUGUAGUUGCUUCCCUGAUACUAAAACUGCAGACAAAGAGACUAUCUUUCCAAUGCUUCUCUAACUGCCAAUCCACCUACACAGGUUACAGGAGGAAAGUUUCUCUGGGUCAACUAUAAACAGUAGGAUAAUUAAAGAAAACAACAUGGAGCUGGACUGAAAGAACUGACAAUUUGGAAGGAAUGAAAGAAAAGAAAGUUAAUAAAUAUUGGUCCAUAUUCCUCUCUAUUGAGACUGAACCCAGUUAAUCCCAAAACUCUUUCUCUUACUGUCACUGUCUAGAAAGACAACUGUACUGCCCACGUGUGUCCAGCUCAUGGCAGAAGCAGAGCUGAACAGAAGAGAAUUUCUUUGCUAUAAAGACUGAAUGUUUGAGGUCUCACUCAACUACUGUAAACCAGAAACAAUUAAAAACAUAUAUUGUGGUGCUUUUCAAGUUUCCUUCCUAAUUUAUGAAGACUGUGUGGGAGAAGACAACAGUCUGUACUCAGGAGAAAUGCAGUGAAUCAGCCUGUUCUUUAUGGUGAAAUGUUCUUUUAUGCAGC